rnacentral:rRNA from 1 species
UACGGGGGGAGCAAGCGUUGUUCGGAUUUACUGGGCGUAAAGGGCGCGUAGGCGGCGCAACAAGUCACUUGUGAAAUCUCCGGGCUUAACUCGGAACUGCCAAGUGAAACUGCUGGGCUAGAGUGCAGAAGGGGCAAUCGGAAUUCUUGGUGUAGCGGUGAAAUGCGUAGAUAUCAAGAGGAACACCUGAGGUGAAGACGGGUUGCUGGGCUGACACUGACGCUGAGGCGCGAAAGCCAGGGGAGCAAACGGG